rnacentral:rRNA from 1 species
AGUGAACGCUGGCGGUAGGCCUAACACAUGCAAGUCGAACGGCAGCACAGUAAGAGCUUGCUCUUACGGGUGGCGAGUGGCGGACGGGUGAGGAAUACAUCGGAAUCUACUUUUUCGUGGGGGAUAACGUAGGGAAACUUACGCUAAUACCGCAUACGACCUACGGGUGAAAGCAGGGGAUCUUCGGACCUUGCGCGAUUGAAUGAGCCGCUGUCGGAUUAGCUAGUUGGCGGGGUAAAGGCCCACCAAGGCGACGAUCCGUAGCUGGUCUGAGAGGAUGAUCAGCCACACUGGAAGUGAGACACGGUCCAGACUCCUACGGGAGGCAGCAGUGGGGAAUAUUGGACAAUGGGCGCAAGCCUGAUCCAGCCAUACCGCGUGGGUGAAGAAGGCCUUCGGGUUGUAAAGCCCUUUUGUUGGGAAAGAAAAGCAGCAGGUUAAUACCCCGCUGUUCUGACGGUACCCAAAGAAUAAGCACCGGCUAACUUCGUG